ACGUGAGGGCUUGCCGUGUUCCAACCCCACCCCUCAGCUUCCCCAAGGAGAGAAAGGGUUAAUCGGGGCUGCGGUGCCCCCACACCUGCAGGCAGUUGUAGGGUGCUGACGGGGCAGAGCCUGGCUGGGGCUUGCUGCCAUCAUGAGAUACAGCCCGGAGCAGCCCGGGAGCCUCUUUUGGGGACUGCGGCGGGAUGCGUAGGGACAGCGUGGGGCUGCUGGGGACAGGAACAGCUUGGGCCCAGAAGCAAAGGGAAAGUGCAGCCACUUGCCUUGCAAUCAUAAUUCCUGAAACACCCAUCUGCGUGGCUUGAUUAGCAUCUUCAAAAGACAAAAUAUCACCGUUUCC